UACCAUGGCAAUCACGGGUAACGGAGAAUUAGGGUUCGAUUCCGGAGAGGGAGCCUGAGAAACGGCUACCACAUCUACGGAAGGCAGCAGGCGCGAAAAUUGCCCAAUCCUGAUUCAGGGAGGCAGUGACAAGAAAUAACAACUUUCAACUUUGUUGAAAAGUGUAAUGAGGAUAAUUUACAAACCUUACCGAAAGCAUUUGGAGGGCAAGUCUGGUGCCAGCAGCCGCGGUAAUUCCAGCUCCAAAAGCGUAUAUUAAAGUUGUUGCAGUUAAAGAGCUCGUAGUUGAAGUUCUGGCUGUAUUGGGCCUUAGCACUUGAUGCGGAGGAACCAGCAGUCAUCCGCUUGCAAAUACAUGUCCUUCCUUAACCGGUGGGCUGUAUAAGUAAGCACUUUACCUUGAGAAAAACAGAGUGUUCCAGGCAGGUUUGUCCGGAAUGCGUUAGCAUGGAAUAAUAGAAUAUGACUGAAGUCGAUUUAUUGGUUUAAGGCUUUAGUAAUGAUUAAUAGGAACAAUCGGGGGCAUUGGUACUUGUCAGUCAGAGGUGAAAUUCUAGGAUUUGACAAAGACUAACUGAUGCGAAAGCGUUUGCCAAGAAUGUUUUCAUUAAUCAAGAACGAAAGUUAGGGGAUCAAAGACGAUCAGAUACCGUCCUAGUCUUAACUAUAAACUAUACCGACUCGGAUUCAGAUGAAUUUUAAAGUUCAUUUGGGACCGUAGGAGAAAUCAAAGUCUUUGGGUUCUGGGGGGAGUAUGGUCGCAAGGCUGAAACUUAAAGGAAUUGACGGUUUUGCACCACCAUGGAGUGGAGCCUGCGGCUUAAUUUGACUCAACACUGGGAAACUCAUCAGGGCAAGAAGAUUUUAGGAUUGACAGAUUGAGAGUUCUUUCUUGAUUGGUCUAGUGGUGGUGCAUGGCCGUUCUUAGUUGGUGGAGUGGUUUGUCUGGUUAAUUCCGUUAACGAACGAGACCUUAACCUGCUAACUAGUACUUUGAUUUUCAAUCGGAGUUACUUCUUAGAGGGACUAUGUGAGUAAUCACAUGGAAGUUUGAGGCAAUAACAGGUCUGUGAUGCCCUUAGAUGUCCUGAGCUGCACGCGCGCUACAAUGACACAUUCAGCGAGUAUUUCCUGACCCGAAAGGGCUCGGGUAAUCUUUUCAGUGUGUGUCGUGAUAGGGAUAGAUCUUUGUAAUUAUGGAUCUUGAACGAGGAAUUCCUAGUAAGCGCACGUCAUCAGCGUGUGCUGAUUACGUCCCUGCAAAAUGUACACACCGCCCGUCGCUAUUACCGAUUGGGUGUAUAGGUGAACCUUCUCGAUAGCCGCAAGGCUAGAAAUUAAGUAAACCUUUGCACCUAGAGGAAAUAAAAGUCGUAACAAGGUU
rnacentral:rRNA from 1 species